rnacentral:rRNA from 1 species
AUUGAACGCUGGCGGCAGGCCUAACACAUGCAAGUCGAAUGGUAACAGGAAACAGCUUGCUGUUUCGCUGACGAGUGGCGGACGGGUGAGUCAUGUCUGGGCAACUGCCGGAUGGAGGGUGAUAACUACUGGCAACGGUAGCUAAUACCGCAUAACGUCGCAAGACCAAAGAGGGGGGCCUUCGGGCCUCUGGCCGUCAGGUGUGCGCAGGUGGGAUGAGCUAGUAGGUGGGGUAACGGGUCACCUAGGCGGCGAUCCCUAGCUGGUCUGAGGGGCUGACAGGCGACAUGGGAACGGAGACAGCGUCCAGACUCCUACGGGAGGCCGCAGUCGGGAAUAUUACGCAACGGUGGGAAGCCUGAUACAGCCAUGCCGCGCGUAUGAAGAAGGCGCUCGGGUUGGAAAGUACUGCCAGCGGGGGGGAAGGGAGUAAAGUUAAUACGUUGCCUCAUUGACGUUACCGGCAGAAGAAGCACCGGCUAACUCCGUG